AUUAAAAAUUUAUUAUUAAAUAUUUAUUUAUUUUUGUUUAAUAAAAAUAAUUUUAUUAAUUUAUUUUUUAAGUAUAUUUUAUAGAAAAAAUUUUAUUAAUUAUAGUUUAUUUGUAUUGUAAAAGAUAAUUGAAAUAAUAAAUUAAUUAUUUAAAAGUAAAAUUUAAUUUUUGUACCUUGUGUAUCAGGGUUUAUUAAAUAAAUAUUAAUUAUUUUAAUUUUCUCGAUUUUAAGAGAGCUAAUAAAAUAUUUUUUUUAUUGUAAAAAAACUAUUUAAAAUAUUUUAUUGGUAAUGAAACGUUAUUCGUUCUUAAAAAUAUCUAGUUUAUUUAGAAAUGAAUUUAAUUCAGAUAUUUUUAUUUUUAUGUAUUAAUUUGUUAAUUUAUUAAAUUUUUAAUAUUAAUAAUUAAAGGGAUUAGCUUUUAAUUAAAAAUUUAUAAGUUUAAUAAUAAUUUUAAAAAAUGUAAGUUUAGAAAUAGCUAUCAAUAAUAAUUUGUUAUAAUUAAUUUAAUUUAAGAUAUUAUUUUAUAUAAUUUUAAAUUUUUUAUAAAUAUAUAAUUUUUAAUUUUUAAAAAUUAGAUAUAAUGAUAAAAUUAGUAUAUAAAUUGAUAUUUUUAAAUAGUAAUUUAAGUAAGAUUAUUUAAAGGAAUUCGGCAAAAAUUUUACUCGCCUGUUUAACAAAAACAUGUCUUUUUGGUUGAUAUAUUUAAAGUCUAGUCUGCCCACUGAAAUUUUUAAAUGGCCGCAGUAAUUUGACUGUGCAAAGGUAGCAUAAUCAUUAGUUUUUUAAUUAAAAGCUUGUAUGAAGGGUUGGACGAGGUAAAAUCUGUCUCUAUUUAAUUUAUUUUAGAAUUUAAUUUUUAAGUUAAAAAGCUUAAAUAUUAAUAAAAGACGAGAAGACCCUAUAGAACUUUAUAAUUUAUUUAAUAUAAUUAAUUAAGAUUUAUUUAGGUUUUAUUAAUAUAGUUAUUUUAUUGGGGUAAUAGAAAGAUUAAAUAAAUUCUUUUUUUUUAUUAACAUUAAUUUAUGAAWUUAAUGAUCCAUUUUUAUUGAUUAUAAGAUUAAGUUACCUUAGGGAUAACAGCGUAAUUUUUUUAGAGAGUUCAUAUCGAUAAAAAAGUUUGCGACCUCGAUGUUGGAUUAAAGAUUAGUUUAGGUGUAGAAGUUUAAAUUUUUGGUCUGUUCGACCAUUAAAUCUUUACAUGAUCUGAGUUCAGACCGGCGUAAGCCAGGUCGGUUUCUAUCUUUAUUAAAAAAUAAUAUUUUAGUACGAAAGGACCAAAUAUUUAAUAUAUUUAUAUUUUAUUUUUGAAUAUUAUUAUUAUUUUGGCAGAUUAGUGCAAUGAAUUUAGAAUUCAUA
rnacentral:rRNA from 1 species